GAUGAACGCUGGCGGCGUGCCUAAUACAUGCAAGUCGAGCGAACAGACGAGGAGCUUGCUCCUCUGACGUUAGCGGCGGACGGGUGAGUAACACGUGGAUAACCUACCUAUAAGACUGGGAUAACUUCGGGAAACCGGAGCUAAUACCGGAUAAUAUAUUGAACCGCAUGGUUCAAUAGUGAAAGACGGUUUUGCUGUCACUUAUAGAUGGAUCCGCGCCGCAUUAGCUAGUUGGUAAGGUAACGGCUUACCAAGGCAACGAUGCGUAGCCGACCUGAGAGGGGGAUCGGCCACACUGGAACUGAGACACGGUCCAGACUCCUACGGGAGGCAGCAGUAGGGAAUCUUCCGCAAUGGGCGAAAGCCUGACGGAGCAACGCCGCGUGAGUGAUGAAGGUCUGCGGAUCGUAAAACUCUGUUAUUAGGGAAGAACAAAUGUGUAAGUAACUAUGCACGUCUGGACGGUACCUAAGCAGAAAGCCACGGCUAACUACGU
rnacentral:rRNA from 1 species